AAGGAACAUGGGAUUCCCAGCUCCAUGGGAGUUGCUGACAGACUGACAGUUGCGACGGAUGAGCCGUCGCAUAUAAGCUGUACAAGAGGAGAUUGAAGAAUAAACACAGAAAAAAGACCCCGGGCUGUGCAGAAGGCUGCCGCAACAAGAGCUCCACCUCUCCCCAAGAGACCGGUGCUUUCUUGGAGGUGAAUGAAGAACUCGCUAUAACUCCUGGGACAUCAGAGCCGAUGGAUCCCCCCGUGGCUCUCGAGCCCAUGGGUCCCAUCUCCUCAUGUGCGCAGUAGCGGCUUGCUGACCCGCCUGGACGCCGGCUACCUCCGCCGGUAGUAAAGCUGGUGCAGGGCUGAUGCGUGGAUCUCAUUGGCAAGGCCUGUGGGAAUAGCUGGUUUUGUGUGGGUUGUAAAUCUUCCCAGGAUCCCUUUCUGCGAAUGUAUUCUGCCUAUUUCAGGGAGUCCUUUGGGGUUUACACCACAUAUUUACUAGUGGCUGUGUUCUUGUCUUCCCAGUGCUAUGUGCAGUCGUCCUCCCUGUGGCUUUUAAUCCCAGGAGAGGAGGGACUCUGUGGAGAGAUGCGAUCUCCUAUUUAGGGCAAGGACAGUCUGAACCCUCUUGGCUUUGGGAAGGUUCUUUGGAGCAGUGGGGAGGAAGCAUACAGGUCUUAGAAAACCUGGGGUCUUUUCUCAAAUGAUUGCUAAUUCUUAAGGGCUUAGAGUCUUUUUGGAUUCUAAAUGUAAUACAGAUUUAGAGGAAAGUUAAUGAACACUUGAGGUUAAAAGGUGAAUGUCCCAUAUUUUCACUCCCCAGUGAUAGGCACAUGGAUAUCCUUCAUGUUUACACAUUAUAUCACUUUAAAAAUACUGGGCUUUUCCCACGUAUACUGUCUAAUAAGUCACGUAAUGACAUAUUAUGGAGCACCUUCACACGUCGGUCUGUGUUGACCUGCCUCACUUUAGAACAAUGGCUUUGCAGAAGCAUUUCACUGCACGGAAGGACUGACUGAUUUAAAGUUCCUCAUUCAUGGGCAUUUAGAGAGCUUUCAAUUCACUGGCACAAUGCUGCUACACUCGCCUGUGCCCUCUGGGGGCAUGUCUGUAGGGUCACUUUCUACAACUUGAAUUGCCAGAGCAAUUGCACAGGAAAACGCUGGACUCUGCCCUCCGGCAAUGCUGUGUGCGCAGCGGUGCGGAGAGGGCCUGGGUUCCCAUGGCCCCAGCUGAAGGAUGAUCAGUUUGGAUUUGUGAGAGCAUCUCAUUUAAAGUCGCAUGUAAUCAAUUAUGAGUAAAGUAUUUUUUCAUGACCACUUGCCUACUCGUGUCCUUUGCCUGCUUUUCUAUUUCAUUUUUUCCUUUUUGAUUGAUAAGUUUUAACACAUUAUGGAGAGUGACCCUUUGUCCUGUUUUGUCAACAUUUUACCUGCUCAUUUAUCUUUUGCUCUCUGUAAUGCCUUUUGCUGUAGUUUUAUAUUUUUUACAUAUUAAGCAGUAUUAGUUUUUUAAAAUAAUGUUUUUGACCUUGAUCUCUGUCCAGUGUUGGAAAUUAUAUUUUUAUGUGAUUAUGAAUUGUGAAAGGAUUCCUUGUUGAGAAUGUAUUUGGCCCCUUUUCAGGGAGUUCAUUUUGGGUGUUUACUAGGGGCUGUGUGUACUGCCUGGCAUUGUAAAACCCAUCCUCCUCCUCUAUUCUUACAUUAAAAAUAUUUCCCAUAU